UAUUGGUCAAUGGAGGCAACUCUGAACCAGCCAUGCCGCGUGCAGGAAGACGGCCCUAUGGGUUGUAAACUGCUUUUAUUGGGGAAUAACCUCCUGUAUGUAUACAGGACUGAAUGUACCCAAGGAAUAAGGAUCGGCUAACUCCGUGCCAGCAGCCGCGGUAAUACGGAGGAUCCAAGCGUUAUCCGGAAUCAUUGGGUUUAAAGGGUCCGUAGGCGGGACAAUAAGUAAGUGGUGAAAGUCUGCAGCUUAACUGUAGAAUUGCCGUUGAAACUGUUGUUCUUGAGUAAUUAUGAAGUGGUUAGAAUAUGUAGUGUAGCGGUGAAAUGCAUAGAUAUUACAUAGAAUACCGAUUGCGAAGGCAGAUCACUAAUAAUUCACUGACGCUGAUGGACGAAAGCGUAGGUAGCGAACAGG
rnacentral:rRNA from 1 species